rnacentral:rRNA from 1 species
CCUACGGGAGGCUGCAGUGAGGAAUAUUGGUCAAUGGACGAGAGUCUGAACCAGCCAAGUAGCGUGAAGGAAGACUGCCCUAUGGGUUGUAAACUUCUUUUAUAAAGGAAUAAAACGACGCACGUGUGCCUUUUUGCACGUACUUUAUGAAUAAGGAUCGGCUAACUCCGUGCCAGCAGCCGCGGUAAUACGGAGGAUCCGAGCGUUAUCCGGAUUUAUUGGGUUUAAAGGGAGCGUAGAUGGGUUGUUAAGUCAGUUGUGAAAGUUUGCGGCUCAACCGUAGAAUUGCAAUUGAUACUGGCGGUCUUGAGUACAGUUGAGGUAGGCGGAAUUCGUGGUGUAGCGGUGAAAUGCUUAGAUAUCACGAAGAACCCCGAUUGCGAAGGCAGCUUACUGAACUGUGACUGACAUUGAUGCUCGAAAGUGUGGGUAUCAAACAGGAUUAGAUACCCGGGUAGUC